rnacentral:ncRNA from 2 species
AGAUUCUUAGGCGUUCGUGGUGACUCGCAGUGAAUCUACACUUGCGAGUGAACAGGGAACUCCGGUGAAAUUCCGGGAUGGUCCAGCCGCUGUGAACUGCCUUCGGAUGCGUGAACUGAAUGCAUCCCAAUCGAAACUCUUUCAUUAAAACGCCAUUGCUUCUAGAGACCUGGUCAACAGGAAAUCGGAGUGAGAAGGCUGCGAGAACUCGGUCGGCAGUGAGUCAGAAGACCUACCACGAAAUAGACGAUUUC